GACGAACGCUGGCGGCGUGCUUAACACAUGCAAGUCGAACGGGAUCCAAAGGCUUUUUGUUUUUGGUGAGAGUGGCGAACGGGUGAGUAACACGUGAGUAACCUGCCCCCUUCUUUUGGAUAACCGCAUGAAAGUGUGGCUAAUACAGGAUAUUCCAGGCUGGUCGCAUGAUUGGUUUGGGAAAUGGUUUGGUCUGGUGGGGGAUGGGCUCGCGGCCUAUCAGCUUGUUGGUGGGGUGAUGGCCUACCAAGGCGGUGACGGGUAGCCGGCCUGAGAGGGUGGGCGGUCACACUGGGACUGAGAUACGGCCCAGACUCAUACGGGAGGCAGCAGUGGGGGAUUUUGCACAAUGGGCGCAAGCCUGAUGCAGCGACGCCGCGUGAGGGAUGAAGGCCUUCGGGUUGUAAACCUCUUUCGCUGGGUUGAAAGGCCAUGCUUUGGGUGUGGUUGAUUUGAACUGGUAAAGAAGUACCGGCUAACUACGUG
rnacentral:rRNA from 1 species